rnacentral:rRNA from 1 species
UUAAAUUGAAGAGUUUGAUCAUGGCUCAGAUUGAACGCUGGCGGCAGGCCUAACACAUGCAAGUCGAACGGUAACAGGAAGCAGCUUGCUGCUUUGCUGACGAGUGGCGGACGGGUGAGUAAUGUCUGGGAAACUGCCCGAUGGAGGGGGAUAACUACUGGAAACGGUAGCUAAUACCGCAUAACGUCGCAAGACCAAAGAGGGGGACCUUAGGGCCUCUUGCCAUCGGAUGUGCCCAGAUGGGAUUAGCUAGUAGGUGGGGUAAUGGCUCACCUAGGCGACGAUCCCUAGCUGGUCUGAGAGGAUGACCAGCCACACUGGAACUGAGACACGGUCCAGACUCCUACGGGAGGCAGCAGUGGGGAAUAUUGCACAAUGGGCGCAAGCCUGAUGCAGCCAUGCCGCGUGUAUGAAGAAGGCCUUCGGGUUGUAAAGUACUUUCAGCGGGGAGGAAGGGAGUAAAGUUAAUACCUUUGCUCAUUGACGUUACCCGCAGAAGAAGCACCGGCUAACUCCGUGCCAGCAGCCGCGGUAAUACGGAGGG